AGGCGCGUAGCUCAGUUGGUUAGAGCACCACCUUGACAUGGUGGGGGUCGUUGGUUCGAUUCCAAUCGCGCCUACCA
rnacentral:tRNA from 18 species